rnacentral:rRNA from 1 species
AUUGAACGCUGGCGGCAGGCUUAACACAUGCAAGUCGAACGAGUGGCGGACGGGUGAGUAAUGCUUGGGAAUCUAGCUGAUGGAGGGGGAUAACUACGGGAAACUGUAGCUAAUACCGCAUACCAUAGGAUGAGCCCAAGUGGGAUUAGGUAGUUGGUGAGGUAAAGGCUCACCAAGACGACGAUCCCUAGCUGGUCUGAGAGGAUGACCAGCCACACUGGGACGGAGUCACGGCCCAGACUCCUACGGGAGGCAGCAGUGGGGAAUAUUGCGCAAUGGGGGCAAGCCUGAUGCAGCCAUGCCGCGUGAAUGAAGAAGGCCUUCGGGUUGUAAAGUGCUUUCGGGAGCGAGGCGUUACCUGCAGAAGAAGCACCGGCUAACUCCGUGCCAGCAGCCGCGGUAAUAC